rnacentral:rRNA from 1 species
AGAGCGAACGCUGGCGGCAGGCCUAACACAUGCAAGUCGAGCGCCCGUAGCAAUACGGGAGCGGCAGACGGGAUAGUAACACGUGGGAACGCGCCCUUCGGUUCGGAAUAACUCAGGGAAACUUGAGCUAAUACCGGAUACGCCCUUACGGGGAAAGAUUUAUUGCCGAAGGAACGGCCCGCGUCCGAUUAGCUAGUUGGUGAGGUAAUGGCUCACCAAGGCGACGAUCGGUAGCUGGUCUGAGAGGAUGACCAGCAUCACUGGGACUGAGACACGGUCCAGACACCUACGGGUGGCAGCAGUCGAGAAUUUUCUCAAUGGGCGAAAGCCUGAAGGAGCGACGCCGCGUGGGGGAUGAAUGGCUUCGGCCGUAAACCCCUGUCAUUUGUGAACAAUUAAUCUACCUAACAUGUGGAUUAUUGAUAGUAACGGAAGAGGAAGGGACGGCUAACUCUGUGCCAGCAGCCGC